rnacentral:rRNA from 1 species
CAGCAGCCGCGGGAAUACGAAGGGGGCUAGCGUUGUUCGGAAUCACUGGGCGUAAAGCGCACGUAGGCGGACUUUUAAGUCAGGGGUGAAAUCCCAAGGCUCAACCUUGGAACUGCCUUUGAUACUGGAAGUCUUGAGUUCGGGAGAGGUGAGUGGAACUGCGAGUGUAGAGGUGAAAUUCGUAGAUAUUCGCAAGAACACCAGUGGCGAAGGCGGCUCACUGGCCCGAUACUGACGCUGAGGUGCGAAAGCGUGGGGAGCAAACAGGAUUAGAUACCCCUGUAGUCCCUGUCUCUUAUAC